UACGAAGGGGGCUAGCGUUGCUCGGAAUCACUGGGCGUAAAGGGCACGUAGGCGGCUUUUUAAGUCAGGGGUGAAAUCCUGGAGCUCAACUCCAGAACUGCCUUUGAUACUGAGAGGCUCGAGUCCGGGAGAGGUGAGUGGAACUCCGAGUGUAGAGGUGAAAUUCGUAGAUAUUCGGAAGAACACCAGUGGCGAAGGCGGCUCACUGGCCCGGUACUGACGCUGAGGUGCGAAAGCGUGGGGAGCAAACAGG
rnacentral:rRNA from 1 species